GACGAACGCUGGCGGCGUGCUUAACACAUGCAAGUCGAACGGAAAGGCCCUGCUUUUGUGGGGUGCUCGAGUGGCGAACGGGUGAGUAACACGUGAGUAACCUGCCCUUGACUUUGGGAUAACUUCAGGAAACUGGGGCUAAUACCGGAUAGGAGCUCCUGCUGCAUGGUGGGGGUUGGAAAGUUUCGGCGGUUGGGGAUGGACUCGCGGCUUAUCAGCUUGUUGGUGGGGUAGUGGCUUACCAAGGCUUUGACGGGUAGCCGGCCUGAGAGGGUGACCGGCCACAUUGGGACUGGGAUCCGGCCCAGACUCCUACGGGAGGCAGCGGUGGGGAAUAUUGCACAAUGGGCGGAGGCCGGAUGCAGCAACGCCGCGUGGGGGAUGACGGCCUUCGGGUUGUAACCCGCUUUCGCCUGUGACGAAGCGUGGGUGACGGUAAUGGGUAAAGAAGCACCGGCUAACUACGU
rnacentral:rRNA from 1 species